UACAUCGAUUCAAAGGCCCCUACCAAACUCGUAAUGUCUGGGUUAGAAAAAUCAUUAUUUCAACUAAAGGUAUGCAUGCAUUCAGGAACCACUCCUGAU
rnacentral:misc_RNA from 1 species